CUGGUGCAGCUGACAUACACAGGAAUGGAUCAAAGUGCUGCUUAUUUCCCCAAAUCCAUGGUGUGACCCUUGUCCAUGAGUAACUGGGGCAGCUUCAGAGCUCCACUAAGUAUAAAGGGAGCACAGAUGGCAAAUACAGGACUCCUGUGGGCAUCUAAUACCAAAUCACAGACUCACAGAACGGUUUGGAUUAAAA